GACGUGAAAAAUGGCCCAGCCUCAACAGCCAGGCCUCAGACCUCACUGCCGAGGCGCUCUUCCGGAGUCCACCAGGACAAAGUGAAAUCCUUACAGCAAGCCAGAGUGUGGUAAACACAAGAAAUCGACAACAUGGGGGACGUGAUCUUCAAUAUGAGGACGGAGGGACGGGAUGAAGCCGGUAUGCAUUAUGUUCAUUCACUGCGUUUAUUCCCGAUUGCUCAAUGGCUGGUUAUCUUAUGCACUGAGUGAAAGAGAAUAACUUGAAUGUAUUUAUUUGUAUAUAUUUUUUAUUUUUUAUUAAUUUAUUUAUCUCCACAGACACUUCACAGUAUGGGGGUCACAUGGAUGUUGAUCAGAACUCUUCAGGCACGUUCUGAUGUCCGUGAUGAGGACAGAGAUGCAACUGUGUCUGCGUCCAGGACCUGCUGCCCGUCACCCAGAUGUUGGUCAAGAAAGAAGCAGGUGAUGGAGGAAGGCAGAGAGUACUGGCAGCAGAGGAGGUGGCAUUCUGGGAUGAUGGCACCUAUGAGGGGGAGUCAGGAUGGACUGUGGUGAGGUGGAGACCCCAAGAUCCCCCAGCCAGGAGCUCAGUUGCCUCAGGUCUACACUACAGGAGAGACGUCAGGCCUUUCCUGAACGCAGCACAAUGUUGGACAUGUUUGGACAAAAAAAAACACCACCAGAUGGUCCAGAAGUGGACAAGCAUUUAUGUCUUAUUUUGUGUGGAAACAGUGAAAAAAGAAAAUGAAAUAAAAAUGUGUCUCAUUUAUGUUCCUCA